CAUUAGAUGGCUGAAAGUAAGCAAUGGAAUUUUAAACCAUACUAUAGUAUCUAACACCUACUUCUAAUGA
rnacentral:tRNA from 1 species